CGGACGGGUGAGUAAUGUCUGGGAAACUGCCUGAUGGAGGGGGAUAACUACUGGAAACGGUAGCUAAUACCGCAUAACGUCGCAAGACCAAAGAGGGGGACCUUCGGGCCUCUUGCCAUCGGAUGUGCCCAGAUGGGAUUAGCUAGUAGGUGGGGUAACGGCUCACCUAGGCGACGAUCCCUAGCUGGUCUGAGAGGAUGACCAGCCACAUGGAACUGAGACACGGUCCAG
rnacentral:rRNA from 1 species